rnacentral:rRNA from 1 species
GACGAACGCUGGCGGCGCGCCUAACACAUGCAAGUCGAACGAGCGAGAGAGAGCUUGCUUUCUCCAGCGAGUGGCGAACGGGUGAGUAACGCGUGAGGAACCUGCCUCAAAGAGGGGGACAACAGUUGGAAACGACUGCUAAUAACGCAUAAGCCCACAGGUCGGCAUCGACCAGAGGGAAAAGGAGCAAUCCGCUUUGAGAUGGCCUCGCGUCCGAUUAGCUAGUUGGUGAGGUAACGGCCCACCAAGGCAACGAUCGGUAGCCGGACUGAGAGGUUGAACGGCCACAUUGGGACUGAGACACGGCCCAGACUCCUACGGGAGGCAGCAGUGGGGAAUAUUGCACAAUGGGGGAAACCCUGAUGCAGCGACGCCGCGUGGAGGAAGAAGGUCUUCGGAUUGUAAACUCCUGUUGUUGAGGAAGAUAAUGACGGUACUCAACAAGGAAGUGACGGCUAACUACGUG